rnacentral:tRNA from 1 species
GGCCGGGUGGCAGAGUGGUGAUGUAGAGGACUGCAAAUCCUCGUAUACCGGUUCGAUUCCGGUCUCGGCCUCCA